CCCGAAAACACAGGUGAAGUUUCAAUUCAAUAUCUGCAUUAGUUUUGGAGAUAGUAACUUGCAUGUAAAACCUUAACCAGAAUUUUCUAAGUCCAAAAGGGGGCAUAAUUUGCUCAAAAUAUAUGUCUGAGUUAUGGAACUUGACCCAGUGAGGUUGGUCAUUGACCUAGAAAAAGAAAAAAUAAGUUUCAAAGCUAUAUGCCUUUAAAUGAUAACUGUAUGUACUUGCAUGCAAAAACUUAACCAAGGUGUGAUGCCGACGCCAGGGUGAGUAGAAUAGCUAGACUAUUCUUCGAAUAGUCGAGCUAACAAAUACUGUCAGGGGUGGUAUAGUACGUCAUCAACAGGUGCGCGCAACACUUCCCGAUGCGGCUUUUUUGUGUCAAAACAUCUCGAUUCGGUACAUGAAAGAUGAAAAAGGAAACAAAACUUCUAGUCUGCAUCAAUGGAAUUGUCAAUAUAUGUUAAAAAGGAUUGCUGAGUGAUCGGCAUGCAAGACAUUAUUGACAUAUUAUAUUUUCCAAAAGUUGUACGGCAUAAUAUUUGAGAAGUGGAGAACAUCCUCUAACAGAAUUACCCCACGCUCAACUAGGUCUCCGUACCAAACUUUGUCACGACUAUGUCGGUUGCUGUUUGAAGGGCCACGUGAUCAUCACAAUUGCUCGGGAAAAAAUGAGAAAUUACUGUAUCGCGACAACGAAAUGUUCUUAUUAAGGAGUUUUAGAUGUGCGCAGGGAAAGACCAAGAGUGACUACAACCGAAUUAUAAUUACCACGUAGUAGAAUGGGACAUUGAAUCUACACUAGAAAGCGGUUGAGGAUUUAACAUUUUACUAAUGUUCAGAUUUUGCUUGCAAAUCUUAGUGCACCCAAUUACAUGUUAAAACUCGAAGUGAGCUUGAACAGUGCCCUUACAGAAGCAAGCCUCUGUGGCGUACAUGCUGCGUAUUUGCUGUGUAUAUGCCACGAACACAGUAGUACGCCAGAGGAGUACAUUUUACAUACACCGCAUGCAGCGUACAUGCCGCGUACUAUUUCGACGAGUACACAGCAUGUACGCAGGAGGUCACUAGUACACUUCAAGUACGCAGCACAGACUCUGAAAAUUUAAGGAGUACACUGCAUGUACGCAGGAGGGACUCGUACAAGAAAAUAGUACACUGCAUGUACACCGCAGAUACUUUGAAAUUUGUGCAGUACACUUCAUAUACGCGGGAAAGACUUGUACAAUUUCUUUUGGCAUUUAUACUUAGGUUUUUUUUUUAUAAGUUAAAGUCUGAAGUAAACUUCAUAUAUGCGGGAGGGACUUGUUCAUUUCCUUUUGGUGUUUAUACUUUGAAUUUUUUUAGGUAAAAGUCUGAAGUACACUUCAUGCAGGAAGGAUUUGUACAUUAUUAUUUUUUUUUUUGGAAGCAAGAACUUGAUUUGCGAGUAACUUUUAUCUUAAUAGCAUAGAAUAGUUCAGAUUACCAGUAUUCUGAACAAUGAAAAUUUGCCAAACUAUUUGCAAUGUUCAUUUGUGAAGCUUACAUCUUAGUGAUUUCUGAGCUGCACCUUGCAUGCAGUGUAAAAAUAUAUUUUUUUUCAUUUUGAAUUAAUCCUGGAGCUUUCUAACUUGGAUAAUGGAAAAGCCUUAUUUGAACUUCAUUGCAUUUCAUUUUGUAAUACAUGAAAUAAUUACCAAGAUAAUGCCUCAACAGCGCCCGAAUGAGAAGAAUUGAUAGCUCUCACUGUUAUUUGAAUACUCUUAAGCAAAACACCAUUCUAUCAUGUUUUAUAAAGGCUUUAAUGCUCAUUAUGUUACCUCAUUAAGGCCUCACCAAAUUAAAAAGUUGUUCAUCGGAUUUGCCGCUCGUAUAUUUUCAGAAUGUUUUUGGCUAAUUGCGCUCGCCCCAUUGGAAAAAAUCAGUCCAAAAUUUUUUUGGUGCGCUACUUUUUAGGACGUAAAAGUGUAUAAAUGCUUAUAUAAUUCCAGUCCUAGAUUGUUCUCAGAUGGAUUUUAAUCAAAAUAAAUACAUACUACGCACACAUCGUCUAUAAUAAAUCAUAACACUUAUAUUUAGUUGCAUUAAAGUUGUUUCCCCUUGAUGCAGUUACGCCAU